rnacentral:rRNA from 1 species
GACGAACGCUGGCGGCGUGCUUAACACAUGCAAGUCGAACGGAAAGGCCCUGCUUGCAGGGUACUCGAGUGGCGAACGGGUGAGUAACACGUGGGUGAUCUGCCCUGCACUUCGGGAUAAGCCUGGGAAGCUGGGUCUAAUACCGGAUAGGAGCCAUUUUUAGUGUGAUGGUUGGAAAGUUUUUUCGGUGUAGGAUGAGCUCGCGGCCUAUCAGCUUGUUGGUGGGGUAAUGGCCUACCAAGGCGGCGACGGGUAGCCGGCCUGAGAGGGUGGACGGCCACAUGGGGCCUGAGGUAGGGCCCAGCCCCCAACGGGAGGCAACGGGGGGAAAUUUUACAAAAUGGGGCCGAGCCAGUGCCGGCGCCCCCCGGUGGGUGAUACUGUCCUUCGGGUUAAAAACUCCUUUCUCAGGGACUAAACCUUUUUUGAACGUUCCUAAUAAGAGAAGCACCGGCAAACACCUG